rnacentral:lncRNA from 1 species
GCCUGGAUGGAGGCCCGUGCAUGUCAUCACAGCCGCAGGGGGCCGAGGUGCAGACAUUGUGGGGGAGGUGCGUGAGAGACAAGCCCUUCAUGACUGUGGCCUUGCUGCACACUGACUGAUGGCCCCGUUUGUGGCAGUGAUUGCCUGGAUGGCUAGUCUGGAUACGAGCAGUCCCCAAUCUCCUCUCCCAGUUUUCAGCUCUCCCGUACGCCCGUUUAGCUUUCCGACCUGCCCCCUGGCAUAUGCAGGCUGUUGCCACUCUGGCGGGUGUGUCUCUUCUUCUGAAGCGCCCGGGCGCCUACUCGAACCCCACACGGGCGGCCACGUUGCUCAGCCGGGCAAAACAACUGUUCGAGUUCGCAAAGACGAUCAAAAACACGUGAGUGGGCUGCUUUUCGGUGGACCAAAAGCCCUCAAAUUGUGCAUGUCCAUCUCCUUGACCUAACAUUUCCAAGAUUGAGCUGAACUCAAUCCCCGUAACUACCGUUGUCGUACACCUCCAGGUGGGGUCCUACUUCCGGCUCCAACGCCUACCCCAGCUCCAGCUACAAUGAUGACCUGGCCUGGGCUGCAGCCUGGUUGUGCAGGUGGCUAGGGGGGAGAUGCAAGGGGGACGAGGGGGAGGUGGGGGAGGUGGGGUUGAAGAGGAUUACAGUCUACGGCAUCCACUGCAGUCAUCCACACGGGGUAGGCGGGGGCCUUACAAGAUCACUGAGAGCAUGGAACCUACCACUCUUUGGCACCGUCGUCCCCAUGUCCUCCCGCCUUCCCCCGUGCCUUCAGGGCGGAUGUGGACGGUGGCGCCAUGAGCUUGACUGCCAGUGCCGCUUGUAAUGCCGCGCCCUCGCUCUGGGACGCCACCAAGUACGCGAACCUGGACUUGUCCUGGGACAACGUGGCAGCUGCUGCGGCGCUGCUGCUCCGGGACACCGGGGCGGGUGGGGCGACCUACGUGGCCAGCUACGACGACUUCGUCAACCGACUGCUGACAAGGUAUGAACCAGAAGUCUCGGGGAGGGAAGUUGGGUUGGGGAGGGAAGUAUGGGGAGUAACGUGAGUACUAGCAACCCCAUGUAUGUCAACGUAGUCUUCCACCAUCCUAAUCCCCUGCCCGCCCUGCCCGCCUUUCCCGCCUCCUGCCCCCCUCAGGUGGACUGGCAGUGGCGCCUGCAGCACUGGCGCCACACCCUGCAUGACCCCCGGGGGCCUGGCCUGGUACAGCGACUGGGGCAGUGCAAGAUAUGCAGGUGGGCGGACGCGGCGGGGUAACCCGGGAAGAUCAGUCCAGCUGAUCUGUCCGGCACCUCAUCAAACAAGGCUGCCAGGCUAGCUACCUCCCUCCCCUUCUUGCCCUCAUUCUGGUCCCCUCCCCGCCCCGCAGCCAAUGUGGCGCUGGUGGCGCUGGCAGCGGCGCGCAGUGACGGCGGCGGAGGCGCGGCGCUGACGUCAGCAGCUCGGGCCAGUCGCAUCUGCUGGGCCAAGAACCAGGUUUCGUACAUGCUGGGUACCAACCCGCAGAGCCAGUCCUUCGUGGUGGGGUACAAGUGAGUUGAUUGUGGGUCCGAGCGGCCUUUUGAACCAAUAGAAUAUGCGUGGUUGGGCGCUCUACUGCGUUCUGGUGGGCAUUCUGCGAAAAUUUCUUGAUUGAAGGGAAAGUGGGAGUAGUGUGCAUUCAGGAGGCGCCGUUCUCGGUUUGGGGCCAGGCGGCUGUCACUUGGCCAGAGGAUUACUGUGAGCAGAAGACCCAUGGCUGCCCAAUUUGCGGCGCUAUGUAUGAUGUGUGGGACAGGGGGGCAUAUCUUCACCCGUGGCCGCUAUCCGGCAUAACCCUGCCUUCCCCGGUAUUACGGGGCAUCUUCAUCUAGUCACCCUUGUCAACUUCUCAGUGGUUCGCUCAGGUUCCGCACCCACCACUUGCAUCCAACGGAACCAGCCGAAUCGACGGCGGCCUAAGUCCCUUCCUGGUCGGCUCAUCCCAGGUCACCACCGUCCAUCGACUUGGAAAUAUACCUUUCACCGUUGGAAGGAUCGCGACCCUCACAGGUCUCGAUUGCGGGAUCUCUCGGCUAUGCAUGUAACCCUAAGCCCCAUGGCUGCCCAAAUUGCUGCAAAUUGCUGCGUUUCACCUAGCUGACAUUAUGUAUGUCUCGGUACCUUCGCCUAUUGCACAUAUCUGCCUUUGAGGUCGCUUGCCUGGUUCUUCCCCUCCUUGCUCAGGCCCACGACCUCGCACAAGGCGCCUGAGAAGCCCCACCACCGCAGCUCCAGCUGCAACCCCAGCUACGCCAUCACCUGCGACUGGACAGCGCUGGACGCUGCCGGCCCCAACCCCAGCGUGCUGGCGGGGGCGCUGGUGGGGGGACCGGGUCGUGAUGACAGCUACGUGGACAACCGCCGGGACUACAUGAAGAACGAGGUGGCGCUGGACUUCAAUGCAGGGUUCACAGCGGCGCUGGCGGUGGGUGGGUGGGAAGAGGCUGGCGCAGCUGGGGCGUGCUUUCCUCCGCCCGUGCAUCCAAAGUUCCUCGCGCGUCGUGUUUGCACUCAGAAUACUGCCGUGGCGGCGUAUGUUGGAUGGAUCUAAGCAGCUGCGAAACCACCUAGUUCGCCUAAGCUUCGAAACACCCCUUCAUCCAGCCCUGUGCCCUUACCCCUGUUGCCAUCUCCCCCCCCCGGACAACGAUAAAUGCCACACUCCGUUUGCCGGCGCAGGGCCUUACGGAUCUGGAGCAAGGCCUCCAACGGAGUGGGUGCUCGUGGAGCGGAUUCUGCGCUGGUACAUGCAGCCCCUCCAACUCCCCAGCUCCGCCCUCACCGCCGCCUAAGCUACCCCCACCCUCACCCCCACCCACCCCGCCUCCGCCCAAGCCAGCCCCGUCUCCGCCUUCCCCCAGGCCCCCUCCUGGCCCAUCCCCGUCCCCACCACCCAAGCCAUUCCCCCCUCCGCCACCCAAGCCAGCUCCGUCCCCACCACCCAAACAGUCCCCUCCUCCACCAGCGAAGCCAGCUCCGUCACCACCACCCAGGCCGUCCCCUCCUCCGCCCUCACCCAAGCCGCCCUCACCAUCUCCCAGCCCCUCCCCGCCGCCCUCACCGUCCCCCAGCCCCUCCCCGCCGCCCUCAUCACCUCCCAAGCCGUCCUCUCCCCCCUCCCAGUCUCCGCCUCCAGCUCCCCUGGCCAGCUGCUCCCCCACGGACUACGCCUGCCAGCAGUGCAGCCAAUCGACCUAUACAGCCCCUGACGCCUGCCGCUCGUGUGUGGGGGCGAUGCGCAGCAUUGGUCAGGACCCAUAUCGGUGCUUCUCGUGCAGCAACGGAGUAACAGACCCCACCAUACAGGGCAUCUGCUUUACGGAGUGCGUUCCACCCACGGCUCUUAAGGGUAAGACAUCUCAUCCAUGAGCUCCUUAGGGUGCAUGUGGGAGCUUCACAGGUUGCCAGGCGUUGGGGUCCUGAGAGCUGAAAGCUGGGGCCUAGCUGGGCCGCAUUGCACGAGAGCCGGGAGCUGCUACACGUGCCGACUCACUGUGUCUGUUGCCGCCACCACUGCUGCUAUCGUUGCGUUUAUUUGCUGCGGUCGCUAUGGCUACGGCUGCUCCUGCUCUCCAGUUGGCUACUGCACGCAGCGUACCAUUCAUUCCCAUCACCGCUUCUGUUUUUGGACCGAACACAAUCAUGCCUUGUGGUUUUGCCGGUACAUCUGUCCUCCCUGCUGCUCCCCGGGCGCCGCCCUCAAACUCAAAAGCAUUAAAGCCCUGAGUUAAUGUCGGGCAUUUCCCCCGGGGUACGUGUGCUCUUUAGGCAUUGACUGGAGCUGCAACUCCUACUGUGCGGACCCCAAUUUCGUGGGAACCGACGCUGCCAAGUCCCGCGAGUGUGUUUCGUGCCUCACGGGCGUCUCUAAUGCCUGGGACUGCUACAAUUGCAUGGCGGUAAGCUUGGUGUGGUGGCGGUAUACAGGCUACCUAGGAACUACGAAGGCUUUGUGUCCGUGUUUCGGUCUCACCAGCAGCUUGGUGGUCAGCUUGACUUCAUUUGUGAACGGGCUUAUCAUAUGGAUUACGAAUUCUGGGCUUAGUUCGCGUAAGCCUGAUGACAUGCCGCGUACGCCAAACCUAUUAAACGGUCCUGUGCACAGAAAUCGCCCGAACCACGACCUCCACUCCUCUGCGUGCAGGUGACGGCAUCACUGUCCGAUUCUGCUGCGGCCCGCGCCACCUGCUUCAAGUGUGUGACCACCACAACACUGGGCGGCUGGUCCUGCGGGGACUGCGCCUCCAGGGCAACCCCAGCGGAACGGGACAGCUGCAUCAAGUCCAGGGGCGGAUGAUGAGUCGAUGCUGGUGCAGGCCAGGACUACGAGCAUAGCGGCGGCGCUUCGUAUGGGAAGACACGUCGGCAUAAUGCAUAAUGCUAUGAGCGAGUUUAACACACAGAUAAUUGAAUGCAUGCAUGCAUGCAUGGCGAUCUGCUGGAUCCCAUCACACAUCAGAAGGCAGAACACACUGCAAAGACAUCUACACUGCAGUACGAAUGCAGUGAAACCACGUGUUGUUAGUACAUCCGUGCAUCCUUCCUACCAUUCUCAUGUGUGCUGCAUCAUCAUCGUGCAUUUCCCCCUUUUUCGUGUACAUACUGAACCAUAGGUAGCCUGGCGUCUCGGUGCCUUUGCACAAAGCUAAGAUAUAAUAUUAUAGAUCGUGCUUCUGGAAGGUGUUUGUACCGGUAGCAUAGGCAGCAGGUGAUGCUGCCCUGAAUGACAGGCAGGUAUUACCAUACGUGGCCGGGGCCAGCAUCCAGCAGGUGAUGUACGCUUGCAGGUACCUGGUGCGGUGCAGCAUGCAGGUUGGCUGGCCUCCAUCCAUUGUGCUGGUAGUUGGGAAUUCAUUAUUACCCGUGAUCAGGUAGCAAGCGACCCUCGUUAAGGUAGCAAGCGACCCUCGUUAAUUGAAGGACCAAAGCUGUGGCGCUCCUUUUGGGUCAAAUGCAUGGUCGAAGGGCCCUGGCUAUCAUGUGCACGCGCGAUGUGGCGCUUUGCUUUCGGAGCUUAUUGCCAACCGCUAACCAUCCUAGAUGGGGGUAUCUGCUAUCCCAUCUAGUCGUGCAUGUGGUCCUCCCGGAAUUCGGACUGCAGCUUUCAUCAUCUCCAUGCGUCUAUUGCGGGCAAUUGUCAAUGUCCAUUUAUUGACAAUGUUGAUCACACUCGUUGUUUUUGUUAGCUGCCAAUGCAUAUUGGUUCUAGGCGUGCCUGCACACUUGCGCCUGCUGCGUACACGGGUUGUGUGGAUUAGGCUCAGUGGGCAUGUGUACAUAGGCCCAUGAACAAAUUCACGCAACUGCUUGGCCCCAGGUUCACAACCACAGAUGUUCUCUGCCAACGUCAGCGGCAGCAGCAACAAUUAUACCGGCAUCUGCAGCAGGCUGCAGGAAGGCGGCAGUGUUGUGUUUAAACGGUUUUGCCCCGGUAAUCUGUCAGUGACGAAGUGGUUACUGUGAGAGUUUUCUUUCGUAACCACCUUACAAAUUUGUUUUCCGGUGCCGUCACUCCGCACAUACACGUGCCCCAGUGCCGCGGCAUUGCCGUCUGUGUUUCGUAACACCCACAUCGCGAGGGCUCUCUUAACAACAUCCUGUGCUACGAGGCUUUGCAACCGUGGUUGUGUCAUUUUCAGUAUUAAGCCAUUAUUAGUCCAUAGAAUACUGAAUUGCUUAUCAAAGGCAAGCUUUCAUCAACUUCGACUCUACGUACGGCAACCCGAGCCGAACUCAGCGAACUAUCACAGAUUUUUAUCUAAGUGUAAAAUCGUUUUCAGGCGAUUGUCACUCCCUGGGGUCUGAGGCCCAACUCCCGGGCGACCACCCCUGGUUACGUGCAGGUAACUCCAAAAUCUUCCUAGUGACGACUACCUUCCGGAAGUAACCGCUUUGUCAUUAGUAACCACUUUUUAGAACACUGGAGGGCGGUCCUCCAACGUACUAUUGUACCCGCUUCGGCCUGCGCAACGCAUGAACAACAAAAUGGUGGCCGCGGCCUGUCUUUUAUAAAAGGAUUGCAGGCGCAUACAUACGCACGUGCACAUAUACAAUAUUUCUUUAUGUACGUAUAUACGUAUAUAAGCAUUUAUAUAUGCACAAAAAACUAAAACACGCUAGUAUGUGCCCUCCUAUAGAUGGGAUCUUAUUUAGGCGAUAAUAACUCGUGUUCAUCUACUUACUUCCAAAUCUCCUCGCCUCUUCAUCUUUAUCCCUGGUUCCAGAUCUUAGGCAAACGCACGGUAUGCCAUAGAUGUUACAGAGCCAUAACACGUUCUGCCACGGGGAGAGGGAUCAAGCAAGGGUUGAGAGCUUUCUCACCACAUUUGGGCGCUGGAGGGGAAACACGGAUGAAUGAUAGAUACAUCGGCGUGUAGGAUUCGCCGGCCAGUUCGCUCAGGGUGCGUCACUGUAGGUGAAGCGCCCAGUCACGCACUGCGAAGCGGAAGGCGCAGUUGGCAGGGAUGACAGUUGAUGGUUUGUACACUUUUUCCCACCUCUCGCGAAUAUUGUUGCAUUCCUCAUCUCAGACAUCUUUCGGCAAUAUCGCCCUUUGCAUUUACCGACCAAACUGCUAUGUGGCGCUUUAACAAUAAUCACAUCACCGCCAGCAGCGCCAGCGUUGUUAGCGGAAGCAGUGCAGCUCUAGAGUCUAGAGCUGGACUAUUGCUGUAGAUCUACAGCUGCUGCAAAGCAUGCAUGUGCACACCGGCUGGUUGCUUCAAGUCGUUCGGGGAUCCGCACAGAUUCGGUCCGUACAUGUGAAUAGUGUCACACGUAAUGUGUAAUAGACAACCCUACCACAUGUUAGGCCAGUUUACAUCCCAUGCGCGAGAGCAUGUCCCGGAUCGCCAGCGACGUGCAAACGGCGUGCGGCAGAUGGCUUUGAACUCCUGCCUGCCGUCAAUCAGACCUACCAUUUUGCACGCACUGGUGCUGGUGUUGCUGCAUUCAGGCAUGUGGACACAUGGCCUCGCUAGGAUGGCUGCUAGGAAAUGCCGCAGUGUACGGGUAUUGCUAAAUCUGACGCCAAAUAGGAAGGCAUAACUACUGUCCUCGGUUUACAAUCAGUGACCUACUGGGAUUGUGUCUCGCCACGGACCUGCUCUUUUGCGGUUCAGAGCAUAGCCCGCAGUGCUGUGAACCUCUGAGGUCCUGUAGAUGUCCUCUUCUUAACAGAAACUUGCAGAUCACGGCAUGGAACUGAGCACACUCGAUGUUACAUUGUAAACGUUUGAUGUCCUUUGGGAGCCAAAUGAAAGUAACUGCACUUUUUCUGAGGUUUAAUCAGAAAUUACGGACAGGGAAGUUACAGAGUAAAACCGGCUUUAGACGAGUGCUAAGCAAUAGUCAUCGCACUGGACGUGAAACUGAGUAUUUAUGUGACUAUAAUAUAUAAUUAUUCAACUUCUUUCGAAAGGAUGUGUCUAUCAUUUGUCAUAAAGGCAGUUGUAGCUCAGAAGUCCGGCCGAAGACUCCCCGAAGCUCUCAGCACCGUAAUCUACACAGCGUACGGGGACUUAUUGAACUAUAUAAAGCCUUAAGUUAAUCCGGAUCUAUUUAUUUUGCUAGAUUGAGCGAGGAAAAAUAAACUACAGAUCUUCCAUAGUGGCGCUACCAGACUUCUCCAAAGGACGCAUGAAUGGCGCUGAAGGUUUUGCGCCCUUCUUUGUUAGUAUGCCUAAUUACAGCAUUGUGCUUUCAUGUUUCCAAUGUUGUGGCACAGCAACAUAAUUUUUCGCAAAUCCUCGGCCUGAGUUACAAGUAAGCGGGCAUGGCCAGCAACUGAACAACAUCGUGGAUGGCCAUUUGUGUUAAUGCAAUAAUUCUUAUCCAUAAGAUCAUGUUAUGGCUUUGCGGCUGCACCCAGGUUUUACGAAGCUCAGAUGUCGGGCGACGUGCCCACCUGGUCGCGCGCCUCCCAAGCGGCUGGCGGUUGGCGCAACAAGAGCCACCUGCUUGACGGUACUGGUCCCAACGGCAUCGGGGUGGAUCUGUCCGGCGGCUGGUAUGAUGCCGGAGGUACGGAUAUGGCAUCACUGUUUCUGGAUUGCAGCUGAAGGCGGGUGCAGAGCAUCGUGGAGCAUGGGUACUGAUAAGGAGACGCGGAGUCUUCAUCACUCAGCACGGUUGUAGUCUUCCCCUGCUCAUUAUUAAGAAGCUAGGAACGGGCACAUGCAGUCCGAGUAACGAUUCUUCAAAUGCAGCGAUCUUGCAGCCAAACUCAAAAGCGGGUGUUGCCAAACUAAGGUCCAACCGUCGCACUAUGCAAGCGCGGAUGACAGGCCGCGCCGGUGUCAAAGAAGGGCGCCUAUGAUUGAUACCUGCUUGAUAUCUGUACCUGUGUGAAUGCGACCAAGCUGUGCGUCCAAGAUGGUCCGUCCACUUCUUUGCACCCUUAGCCGCAUCCCCAACCCCCAGCCCUAUACUGCAGCCUAUCCUCGCACGUUCCUUCCACCGAUUUUCGCUGGAUUGCUCCCCGGGCCCUUUUUGUUCCCCGCUGGCCCCCUCAGAUCACCUGAAGCUGCACCUGCCCCUGGGUGUAUCCGCCAGCCUCCUGUCGUACGGCGUGCUGACGUGGGAGGCCGCCUACCGCGCCGCUGGCCAGUGGGAUAUCGCCGUACGGAACCUGGACUGGGUUGCGUCGUACUACCUCAAGUGCCACUAUCAGGCCAGUGACACCCCCUCCGCCAACGCCUUUGUGGCCCAGGUAAGCAGUACCCGGGAAUCACGACGGGGCUGGGGAACUGCAAAUGUCAGGUGAUCGCUGGGAACCACCAAGAACGACUAACUGCUCCGCGCCAGAUACAUAUAGGCCCCCUCAUUGCCCCCGCCAGGUUGGAGAUGUUGACACCGAUCACAACACCUGGUGGGGUCGCCCCGAGCAGCAGGCGCAGGGCGGGUCGCAGGGCUCGCCUGGAUGGAGGCCCGUGCAUGUCAUCACAGCCGCAGGGGGCCGAGGUGCAGACAUUGUGGGGGAGGUGGGUGAAAAACAAGCCCUUGAUGACCGUGGCCUUGCUGCACACCGACCGAUGGCCGCGUUUGUGGCAGUGAUUGCCUGGAUGGCUAGUCUGGAUACGAGCAGUCCCCAAUCUCCUCUCCCAGUUUUCAGCUCUCCCGUACGCCCGUUUAGCUUUCCGACCU